rnacentral:ncRNA from 1 species
UAAAGUUUUGGUCCUAAACUUGCCGUUGUUUUUAAUCAAAAUUACACAUGCAAGCAUCCGCAUCCCAGUGAGAAUGCCCUUAUAAAGCACCAAGGAGCAGGUAUCAGGCACAACCCGUUAGCCCAAAACACCUUGCUACGCCACACCCACACGGGCACCCAGCAGUGAUAAACAUUAAGCUAUGAGUGAAAGCCAACUUAAGCUCGACUUAGUUAUGAUUAUUCGGGUCGGUAAACCUCGUGCCAGCCACCGCGGUUAUACGAGGGACCCAAAACAACGGACACCGGCGUAAAUUGUGACUAGAGCAUCUACUUAUAACAUUGGGAAAUAAAUAAAAACUCAACAGUAAAACCUGAGUUAAAAGAAAUAUAUUCUCCCAACUACAAAGGAACUUGAACCCACGAAGACUAAGAAACAAACUAGGAUUAGAUACCCUACUAUGCUUAGUUGUCAACACGAUACCAAAAAACAUCGGUAUCCGCCAGAAAAUUACACGCGAAAAGCUUAAAACUCAAAGGACUUGGCGGUGCUCCGUACUCGCCUUAGAGGAGCCUGUCCUAUAAUCGAUAACCCACGCUUUACCUUACCAUCUUUUGUAAAAACAGCCUAUAUACCGCCGUCGCAAACUUACCCCGUGAGGGUAUAACAGUAAGUAAAAUAGUAACGCACGAAUACGUCAGGUCAAGGUGUAGCUAAUAAGAUGGAAGAGAUGGGCUACAUUUUCUAAAACAGAAUAUACGGCAAAGAACAUUGAAACAUGCUCUAAAAGGUGGAUUUAAUAGUAAGAUAGAAAAGAGUGCCUAUCUAAAAUACGCUCCGGAGCGCGCACACACCGCCCGUCACCCUCCUCAACUAACAAAAACUAUCAAUAAUACAAGUAACACACAAAGAUGAGGCAAGUCGUAACAUGGUAAGCGCACUGGAAAGUGUGCUUGGCUUA